CAGUAGCCGCGGUAAUACGGAGGGAGCUAGCGUUGUUCGGAAUUACUGGGCGUAAAGCGUACGCAGGCGGUUAUUCAAGUCAGAGGUGAAAGCCCGGGGCUCAACCCCGGAACUGCCUUUGAAACUAGAUGACUAGAAUCUUGGAGAGGUCAGUGGAAUUCCGAGUGUAGAGGUGAAAUUCGUAGAUAUUCGGAAGAACACCAGUGGCGAAGGCGACUGACUGGACAAGUAUUGACGCUGAGGUGCGAAAGCGUGGGGAGCAAACAGGAUUAGAUACCCCGGUAGUCCCUGUCUCUUAUAC
rnacentral:rRNA from 1 species